CCCUUAGAUGUCCUGGGCUGCACGCGCGCUACACUGACGAACUCAACGAGCUUAUCACCUUGGCAGAGAUGUCUGGGUAAUCUUUUGAAAGUUCGUCGUGCUGGGGAUAGAUGAUUGUAAUUAUUCGUCUUGAACGAGGAAUUCCCAGUAAGUGUGAGUCAUCAGCUCGCGCUGAUUACGUCCCUGCCCUUUGUACACACCGCCCGUCGCUCCUACCGAUUGAAUGGUCCGGUGAGGUUCUCGGAUUUUUUCUGUUGUUUGGUUCGCUAAACGAUUGAAGAGAGAAGUUACCCAAACCUUACCAUUUAGAGGAAGGAGAAGUCGUAACA
rnacentral:rRNA from 1 species